UCUAUAUACUGGAUACGUUAUGUGUUGGUUUGUUUUUCUAUCAGAUAAUUUAAUGAUACCGUUUGUUUUGUAAUUAGACUUGUUUGAUGGAAUAUUUUUUAAUAAUCGGCAAAACUAGGUCUGCCUGAUCUUAUUAAAGAAAAUGAGCCAAGUGUAGAAGUGAAAAUGUCUUCUUUUAAAUCGCCAUAUAUGAUGUAAUAAUUUGAAAAUACAAGAUUCAGCAGGCUGAAUAUUUAUUUUUGUUUAGUCUUCUAUAAAGACGAUAACCAGGUGGAAUAAGAACAAGCAAUGCGCAUUAAUAUGGAGGUUUCUAAAAUCGAAAACAUUAAUAAACUGUAAAUUAUCGAUAAUCUAUUGAAGCUAUAUGGACAACGGCUUCGAGAUAAUGCAAGAAUAGCUUACUACCUGGAGAAACACUGAACGGGUGGGGUAUCAAAUAUGCACUUUGAUAAAAAAUAGUUUUUUAUUUAACCACUAUGGGCACGAGUAGACAGAGGACAACUCGACGUGCUGUCUGCCCAGUGAUGUGUCAGUAUUCGCAAUGUGGUUCUAGGUUAACAUGCCUCCAACGUCGAGUAAGGAGACUCCAUUGCAGAGGUCCGGGACCCACGCAAAUUUAGCGACAAGUCCAGCAUCAUCUCGACCUACUGUUUGCCGUCACAAAGGAAGCAUGCCUUUUGCUUGCUUCUUAUUCUACCACGAA